rnacentral:lncRNA from 1 species
UUCCUUGGUCAGGUGCCAUAUUAUCAUCUGUAUAAUUCAUGGAAGUGGGCGGGGCAAUGGCGCUGGCAUCAUCUUCAGAGGCUGAACUGCUAUGAGGCGGUGUGCUUUUGUCUCCACCAAUUUCAAUUUCUCUCUCACUCCUCUCUCUUGUAGGCAUAACUGAUGAAGGAUCCAUCUUACUGAAACCUCCAGCCACAUCAGUAAACCUUGACCACAGGAAUUUUCUAGGUUCCACAGUAUCAAUUACAACCCCAUUGUGAUUUUUAUUCCAACUGCAAAUGGAGAAUCGAAUAAAAAUUGCUCCAAUGCAAGCCAUUCGGACGAUGACGAAUAG